UACGUAGGGUGCGAGCGUUGUCCGGAAUUACUGGGCGUAAAGAGCUCGUAGGUGGUUUGUCGCGUUGUUCGUGAAAACUCACGGCUUAACUGUGAGCGUGCGAGCGAUACGGGCAGACUAGAGUACUGCAGGGGAGACUGGAAUUCCUGGUGUAGCGGUGGAAUGCGCAGAUAUCAGGAGGAACACCGGUGGCGAAGGCGGGUCUCUGGGCAGUAACUGACGCUGAGGAGCGAAAGCGUGGGGAGCGAACAGG
rnacentral:rRNA from 1 species